UACGUAGGGUGCAAGCGUUGUCCGGAAUUACUGGGCGUAAAGCGCGCGUAGGCGGCUUUGCAAGUCGGGUGUGAAAUCCCCAGGCUUAACCUGGGAACUGCAUUCGAGACUGCAUUGCUAGAGUAUGGGAGAGGGAAGUGGAAUUUCCGGUGUAGCGGUGAAAUGCGUAGAUAUCGGAAGGAACAUCAGUGGCGAAAGCGACUUCCUGGACCGGCAUUGACGCUGAGGCGCGAAAGCCAGGGGAGCAAACGGG
rnacentral:rRNA from 1 species